rnacentral:lncRNA from 1 species
UGUUCUCUUUCCUCCUUAAUUGCUAUGUCAUGUCAUUUUUUUUGCUUAUGUGACAUGCUUAGCACCAGUCCACCAUGGAGCACUGGGAAAGGGACUUAUGUUACUCUAAUCCUCUUUUUCUUCUUUAAUUAUCUGCCACAUCAGCAUGUUUACUAUUCCCAAAUAUAUGAUACCACCUAAGUUACUCCCACUAUGGCCAAUCUAAUUAGCUGCUAAGAGUAAAUGCAACGCGUCUUAAACCUUGUCUAUUGUGAAAAUGCACGUAAAUUUAACCGUGCCUUUUUAAACGUGACGGAGGUAAUAUCAAUAGGUGCAGUAUUACUACUCAAUUGGAUUUAGUAGUAAAUUUUAUUUCCUUUAUUUUUCAACAUAAANCCCUGGCACACACAGCAUGCAUGCAACAAACGAUGUGGAUGGAUCACUAGGCGGCCUUGGUGAAAUUGAAGUUGCUGCAGGUG